CUACCUCAAAUGGUGAAAACAAUGUAUAUAGUAGCAGUACUUCUGGUGAUGGUUUCAACUUGCCUAACAUCUAUCCAACUAACAACGAUUUACUUGAAGGUGACGGUAAUCAGGCAUCAACUUUACCGCGAAGACUGACUUUACUCUGGCGGGGAAAAUUUAUAGUUCCUUCUCUCAUGCCCGGUGGACACCCGGAUGCUUUUACCGUGGAUUAAGGAUAUCUACCAGACUAUUUGCAUCAAAUCGAACGGUGGUCCGUUCUCUGAAUGCCGGUCACUUUGUGAAUAUGGUACACAACGGCAUCGAGUACGGUGAUAUGCAGCUGAUAUGCGAAGCGUGCCACCUGUUGCUGAUCGAUUUAAAAUUUGCCAUGCCAAAAGAGAAUAAUCUCCAUGUGCAGCAGGAGGAUCACGACGAAUGACCUUGCCUGCUUGUGCUUAAUCUUUAAGCAGAUGCAUGAACAUAAACCGCUUAAACAUACACUACUUCAGGCAAGUACACUUUAGGGACCUCUAUUCCAAACACGCUCUAAUGCUAGUAUGUUCAUUAUAUUUUCAGCCUACAGAUAUAGAUUGUCGGGCCACUUUAAGCCACACGUCUAAGCCAUUAGACCAAAGUAAUCAACUGACAAACUGCGUUGUUAGAUUGGAAGCAAUUCAGGAUACUUAUGCAGAAGCAAGUAGUGUUCUGUUUGGUUAUAGUUGUACAUACUAACACUGCUAAUAAGGGUAGUAAGAAUGAAUGUCAUUAUGCGUAACUUAAAGAAACUGUUUUAUACUAUAUGGAGGUAUGAUGCAUCCUAACUAAGCAUAGUAAAUAACAAAUGAAUUGGUUUUUUUAGGGUUCAUCACUUCAAACACUUGCUAUAGCCAUUAAUACUUAAGGAGGGUUAACAUAUUUUAACGAAAGUAGCUAUUAAUUCUAGUUUUGAAAUUGAUUUGAUAGUAAGUAAUCAUUCCUACCCAUAUUUUAUUUUAAUCGUGAAACAUAACGACGCAACUAAAUUGAUUAUGUACUGAUCAUGGUGGUCACAAAAUUAUUAUAAAUCAAAAAUUAAAAAAAAAAUUAAAAAUUGGGUUGAAAGUAAGUGCAAAAUAACAUAAAUAAUAGCUGUUAUAUAUACGGUUCAAUAGCAACUUUUAUUGGAAUUAGUUCAUAUUCGGAAGUUUAGUUCAUGUCUACAAAAAGUUUUUUAAACGCCUAAUCUAUACAUUUGAACAGUAAUCAAAAACUAAAACUAAUGCUUAUAUAUUUACAAAACCUUACAAACUACUCUUUACAUUCUUUUUUUUGCGUGUGUAUUCGCCCCGGCUCACACUUUUUAUAGCGCCUGUUUUUUUGGCCCCUGUUUUAGCGUUGCUGAACUUAGAGACGAAAAAUUUUUCAACGCCUUUGUCUCCCACAUCAAUAUUUCCUACUGCACCUAUUGUACGGAAUAAUUUUAGUACAUGCUUAUGUUUUCUAAACUCUAUUUUUCGACCAUUUCGGCCUCUUCCGCUCCAUCAGCACUCCAUAAGAAAAACCCUGUUGAACAUAAGAUACAAUGCAUCAUGCAUUCUUCUUUUCCCUUGUACAGCUGUAAUCUGUUUACUAAGCCAUUCCUUCAUUUUAACAAAUUGUUCCUCCAAAUUAAGGCUUUUAUCGAACUCUUCCAGGGCUGAUUCUGAUGCAAUCAAUGCAAACACAAAUUCAGUUUCCUGUUCAACCGGAACACUAUGGUCAUCAUUAGAAUUCGGAGAAGGUUGUGUUAAAAGCUGUUGUUGCUGCACAAGUACCUCGUCCAAUUUUAGAUGGACGUCAGAAAUCAUAUUGGUGAGCGUAUGUAGCUGUCUGUUAUUUUCUAUAGCAAUGCUUUCAGCAAAACUUCCAUUACCGGCAUUAGAUUUUUCCAUCAAGACCUACAAUGACGAUGAAGGAAGUAUCAAUUUUGUAGUUUGUUUUGUUUACAACUAUAAUGAUGCUCUUAAAAUAUACUUACAGAUUAGCAGCACUAGCAAACAGUAAAAAAAAUAACUUUACACGAAUACACGAAGUCGGUAUCACAAGACGCCUACAAUAAUGGAAAAAUUAUUAGCAGAGCUCGACUAUGCCUUCCUCCAGACAAGUGUAGCGUUUAAAAUCGAAAAAAUCGGAAGCUUCGACGUACACACUACAUGGGCAUAACACGCAGUUUUUAUACAAUAAAAAGUAAACAAAGCAGUUGCGUUUGAUUUUUUUCAUUUUGACAGCGGGUGUGGUGAUGGAUUGAGCGAUUUGGAACAAUCAUUCUCCGGACGGGAUUCGAUCCGAUCCGUGACGUCACUGAGUGCCGGUUCAUUUUAUGCUUAUUCUCUGAG